GAUGAACGCUGGCGGCGUGCCUAAUACAUGCGAGUCGAGCGAACGGACGAGAAGCUUGCUUCUCUGAUGUUAGCGGCGGACGGGUGAGUAACACGUGGAUAACCUACCUAUAAGACUGGGAUAACUUCGGGAAACCGGAGCUAAUACCGGAUAAUAUUUUGAACCGCAUGGUUCAAAAGUGAAAGACGGUCUUGCUGUCACUUAUAGAUGGAUCCGCGCUGCAUUAGCUAGUUGGUAAGGUAACGGCUUACCAAGGCAACGAUGCAUAGCCGACCUGAGAGGGUGGGCGCCCACAGUGGAACGGAGCCAGGGCCGAGACACCGAGGGAGGGCACAGGGGGGGACUCUCCCGAAAGGGGCGAAAGCCGGAAGGAGCGGCGCCGGGGGGUUGAAGAAGUUCUUCGGAUCUAAAAACUUUUUUAUUGGGGAAAAACAUAUGUGUAAAUAACGGUGCGCUUCUUGACGGUACUUAAUAAAAAAGCCACGGCUAACUACGUG
rnacentral:rRNA from 1 species